rnacentral:rRNA from 1 species
UACGGGGGGAGCGAGCGUUAUUCGGAAUUACUGGGCGUAAAGCGUGCGCAGGCGGCUAUGCAAGACAGAUGUGAAAUCCCCGGGCUUAACCUGGGAACUGCAUUUGUGACUGCAUGGCUAGAGUACGGUAGAGGGGGAUGGAAUUCCGCGUGUAGCAGUGAAAUGCGUAGAUAUGCGGAGGAACACCGAUGGCGAAGGCAAUCCCCUGGACCUGUACUGACGCUCAUGCACGAAAGCGUGGGGAGCAAACAGG